AUUGAACGCUGGCGGCAUGCCUUACACAUGCAAGUCGAACGGCAGCACGGGUUCUUGCACCUGCUUGCGAGUGUCGAAUGGGUGAUUCAUACAUCGGAACCUGUCCUGUGGUGGGGGCUAGCCCGGCGCUAUCCUGAUUCAUCCCGUAUUUUAUCUACGAAUGCAAGCGGGCGCCCUUCGCUCCUCGCCCUCUAGGGUUUGCCGCUGGCUUUUUCGCUAGUUGGUGGGGUAAAGGCCUACCAAGGCGACGAUCCGUAGCUGUUCUGAGAGUACGACCACCCACACUGGGACUGAGACACGGCACAGACUCCUACGGGAGGCAGCAGUGGGGAAUUUUGGACAAAGGGAGAAAGCCUGAUCCAGCAAUGCCGCGUGUGUGAAGAAGGCCUUCGGGUUGUAAAGCACUUUUGGAAGGAAAGAAAUCCUUGGAGAUAAUACGGGCGGGGGAUGACGGUACCGGAAGAAUAAGCACCGGCUAACUACGUG
rnacentral:rRNA from 1 species